rnacentral:rRNA from 1 species
UACGUAGGGUGCAAGCGUUGUCCGGAAUUAUUGGGCGUAAAGAGCUCGUAGGCGGUUUGUCGCGUCUGCUGUGAAAACUCGGGGCUUAACUCCGGGCCUGCAGUGGGUACGGGCAGACUAGAGGGCGGUAGGGGAGAGUGGAAUUCCUGGUGUAGCGGUGAAAUGCGCAGAUAUCAGGAGGAACACCGGUGGCGAAGGCGGGUCUCUGGGCCGUAACUGACGCUGAGGAGCGAAAGCGUGGGGAGCGAACAGG